UUAACCGGGUCCCAGAGGCGCGUUUUCUGCUCCAUCGCUUUCUGCCCCCUUUUACGUAAAAAAGCGACAGGCACUUAAACUAGCCUUAAAGAGUUCAGAUUUCUACAGCUGGGCCCAGGCCUUAGCACGCGGAGCGGGGAAAGAAUCUACAGUUUUCUCGUCCGUGACCUAAUUUAGCAGAAUUCGAACCCAGGCUCGCAAGCGGACGCGGUCCCCUCUUCAGGAUAAAAGUUCGGGGUCGGUGACCCCCGGCGCCACGUCCCGAGCCCAGGAAUCAGUAACUCAAAGCCAGAGGCAAGGCUCCUCCCAUCAGAAGCCUCGGUAAAGCCACGCGGGCCAAACGGUUUGGGCAAGUCCAGCUCGGGGAAAAGCGCUCCGACUUAGCGGAGUGGCCAGCCCCGCGGCACGCCCACCCUCUCGCGCCUGCCCGGGACUCCACCCCGCCCCUUUCUCCAGGCCCGCCCGCCCGCUCGCCCCGCCCACCCCUCCACUCUCGGCUCUCGGCUCUCGACCCUCGACCCUCGACCCCCGACCCUGUCUAUGCUGUCUCGGAUCGCAAGCUCUCGGAGACUGCUCCACGAUUUCUGGCCUCGCUUCUCCACUGGUAUGAUGGGAGACUUAGCCUCAAAGCUCAUCAGACGCGAGGACGCUAUAGCCGGCCGCAGCGAACCGCUGAAAGUAGCAGGCUACCUAUAAUGGGCCAGAUCUGA
rnacentral:lncRNA from 1 species